rnacentral:rRNA from 1 species
UAAUACGUGGGGAGCAAGCGUUGUUCGGAUUUACUGGGCGUAAAGAGCACGUAGGCGGGUGUGUAAGUCGGUCGUGAAAUCCUCUGGCUCAACCAGAGAACUGCGGCCGAAACUACUCAUCUUGAGUCUAUCAGAGGGAAUUGGAAUCAGGUGUGUAGCGGUGAAAUGCGUAGAUAUGCCUGAGAACACCAGUGGCGAAGGCGAGUUCCUGGGAUAGUACUGACGCUGAGGUGCGAAAGUGUGGGGAGCAAACAGGAUUAGAUACCCUGGUAGUCCACACCGUAAACGAUGGGCACUAGGUGUUGGAGGACGUUAACCCCUUCAGUGCCGUAGCUAACGCAUUAAGUGCCCCGCCUGGGGAGUACGGUCGCAAGGCUG